ACAUUUUAUGACACAAAGUUGAUUAAAAAUAGACGCUGCAGGGCUAAAGAAAUACAACUGCUCAACACAGCAUCCAGAGGUGAACCAGGAUAUACAGCCGGUUACAGACUCUGACCUAAAGAAACUUGAAUGACAAGGCCAAGACUUUUGUUCCCGGAGCAGCAUCUUCUGGGAUGAAUUCUGCAUGUACACAGGCUUUAGAGCUGUCCCUCCAUCAAUUUCAGUGACACCAGCAGCAUAAGCGAGAGGUUAACCAGCUACUGGAUCAGCGUAUUGUUACGACUUGCCAGAUUGUUGAUGCCAUUUUUAAAGUGUACUACCUCAAACUAGAGACAGUACUCGAUCUGCG